rnacentral:tRNA from 1 species
GCCGUACAACGAUGGCUCACUUAGACGAGCAUCUGUGCGGUAAGCGGAAUGUCGCCGGUUCGAUUCCGGCCUGCGGCG